UGUAGGAGUGAGCCUGCUCGCGAUAGCGUCGGCAGGCGCGAUGGUGAUGUUGGGGCUGAUUUGGCCAUCGCGAGCAGGCUCACUCCUACA
rnacentral:antisense_RNA from 1 species